rnacentral:rRNA from 1 species
CCGUUGUACACACCGCCCGUCACACCAUGGGAGUUGGUUUACCCGAAGGUGGUGCGCUAACCCGCAAGGGAGGCAGCCAACCACGGUGGGAUCAGGCGACUGGGGUG